ACCUGGGUGGCUCAGUGGUUGAGCAUUUGCCUUCAGCGCAGGGCAUAACCCCAGGAUGUAGGAUCGAGUCCUGCAUCAGGCU
rnacentral:tRNA from 1 species